CUGGUCCAGCCACUGAAGGACCAGAGGAAAGAUUUCAUCAAACAGACUGCAGACAGUAUUGUGUGAAUUUUGGAACAGGCUAAAUUGUUCCAUGUGCACCGAUGGAUCCUGCUGACCUGCUUAUCAGAACUAUUAAAUGGGGCUUUUGUCUCACUGUGCUGACUCUCCAUCCCGUCAUCUCAGAUUAUUGCCAAGGAAUGGGAAAGCAGCCACAGCGGCAGCAAGCAAAGGCAGCACUCGGCUUCUCCACUACCCCC